rnacentral:rRNA from 1 species
UACGAAGGGGGCUAGCGUUGCUCGGAAUUACUGGGCGUAAAGCGCACGUAGGCGGCUUUGUAAGUUAGAGGUGAAAGCCCAGGGCUUAACCCUGGAAUUGCCUUUAAGACUGCAUCGCUAGAAUUGUGGAGAGGUGAGUGGAAUUCCGAGUGUAGAGGUGAAAUUCGUAGAUAUUCGGAAGAACACCAGUGGCGAAGGCGACUCACUGGACACAUAUUGACGCUGAGGUGCGAAAGCGUGGGGAGCAAACAGG